AUUGAACGCUGGCGGCAUGCUUUACACAUGCAAGUCGAACGGCAGCGCGGUCUUCGGCCGGGCGGCGAGUGGCGAACGGGUGAGUAAUGCAUCGGAACGUGCCCAGCUGUGGUGGCUAGCCCGGCGAAAGCCGGAUUAAUACCGCAUAAGACCUGAGGGUGCAAGCGGGGGACCGAAAGGCCUCGCGCUCUUGGAGCGGUCGAUGUCGGACUAGCUAGUUGGUUGGGUAAAGGCUUACCAAGGCGACGGUCCGUAGCUGGUCUGAGAGGACGACCAGCCACACUGGGACUGAGACACGGCCCAGACUCCUGCGGGAGGCAGCAGUGGGGAAUGUUGGACAAUGGGGGCAACCCUGAUCCAGCCAUGCCGCGUGCGGGAAGAAGGCCUUCGGGUUGUAAAGCGCUUUUGUUGGGGAAGAAAUGCUCUGGGCUAAUACCCCGGGGGGAUGACGGUACCGGAAGAAUAAGCACCGGCUAACUACGUG
rnacentral:rRNA from 1 species